GAUGAACGCUGACAGCAUGCUUAACACAUGCAAGUCAUUGGCGAAGCUGCGCUUGCGCAGUCUAGCCAAGGCGGACGGGUGGGUAACGCGUCAGGAACUUGCCCUGCAUACAGGGAUAACAGACGGAAACGACUGAUAACACCUGGUAUUGUCAGGCUGUCGCAUGCCGGCCUGAUGAAAGGAGACGCUGCAGGAGAGCCUUGCGUCCUAUUAGCUAGUUGGAGGGGUAACGGCCCACCAAGGCGAUGUGAGAUAGCCGGCCUGAGAGGGUGAACGGCCACGAGGGGAAUGGGAUACGGCCCUUACUACUCCGGGAGGCAGCAGUGGGGAAUAUUGGACAAAGGCGGCAACACUGAUCAAGCAAUUCUGUGUGCAAGAAGAAGGUUUUCGGAUUGUAAAGUGCUUUCAGCAGGGAAGAAGAAAGUGACGGUACCUGCAGAAGAAGCGACGGCUAAAUACGUG
rnacentral:rRNA from 1 species